ACUCCUACGGGAGGCAGCAGUGGGGAAUAUUGCACAAUGGGCGCAAGCCUGAUGCAGCCAUGCCGCGUGUGUGAAGAAGGCCUCGGUUGUAAAGCACUUUCAGUUGUGAGGAAGGUGGUGUCGUUAAUAGCGGCAUCAUUUGACGUUAGCAACAGAAGAAGCACCGGCUAACUCCGUGCCAGCAGCCGCGGUAAUACGGAGGGUGCGAGCGUUAAUCGGAAUUACUGGGCGUAAAGCGCAUGCAGGUGGUUUGUUAAGUCAGAUGUGAAAGCCCGGGGCGUCAACCUCGGAACUGCAUUUGAAACUGGCAGACUAGAGUACUGUAGAGGGGGUAGAAUUUCAGGUGUAGCGGUGAAAUGCGUAGAGAUCGUGAAGG
rnacentral:rRNA from 1 species